ACCGGUGUGGCUGAUCGGUCAAACACCGGACUGAAAAUCCGGGCAGGUGGGCUCGCAUCCCAUCGCCAGCC
rnacentral:tRNA from 1 species